rnacentral:rRNA from 1 species
UACGGAGGAUCCGAGCGUUAUCCGGAUUUACUGGGUGUAAAGGGAGCGUAGACGGCACGGCAAGCCAGAUGUGAAAGCCCGGGGCUCAACCCCGGGACUGCAUUUGGAACUGCUGAGCUAGAGUGUCGGAGAGGCAAGUGGAAUUCCUAGUGUAGCGGUGAAAUGCGUAGAUAUUAGGAGGAACACCAGUGGCGAAGGCGGCUUGCUGGACGAUGACUGACGUUGAGGCUCGAAAGCGUGGGGAGCAAACAGGAUUAGAUACCCCUGCCGGCUGACUGACU